GCGCUCAGCUGUGGAUACUUUAAGGAAGAAAGUGAAGAGGAUCGAGGCUCCUGCAGUCAUUGUAAAACCCAACUUAUCAACGGUGAUGGAGGAGUUUUUGUUGUCGCCGUGGCUGUGGGAGGACAAAGCCUACGACGACAUCGUGGAUUUCACCAACUGCCCCAUCGAUUCUUCACCAAUUCAGCUGGCAGAGAGUACCCCACUUUUCAAGGUACACUCGCUGUUCUCGAUGCUCGGGCUGAGUCA